rnacentral:rRNA from 1 species
UGGGGAAUAUUGGACAAUGGGCGCAAGCCUGAGCCAGCCAUGCCGCGUGAGUGAUGAAGGCCUUAGGGUUGUAAAGCUCUUUUAGCGGGGAAGAUAAUGACGGUACCCGCAGAAAAAGCCCCGGCUAACUGCGUGCCAGCAGCCGCGGCAAUACGAAGGGGGCUAGCGUUGCACGGGAUUACUGGGCGUAAAGCGCACGUAGGCGGACUCUUAAGUCGGUGGUGAAAUCCUGGAGCUCACCUCCAGAACUGCCUUUGAUACUUUUGUUCUUGAGUUCGGGAGAGAGAGACGGAAUUCCAGGUGUCGUGGUGAAAUACGUAGCUAUCUGGAAGAACACCAUUUGCGAAGGCGGUCUCUUGGUCCGACACUGACGCUGUGGCGCGAAAGCGUGGGG